rnacentral:lncRNA from 1 species
UCAAUAAUGACGAUUUUGACUUUUACCGUUCAGGAGUUAUGGUUCUUGAAAGAUUGAAAAAUGGCAAUUCCAGUCGUGUCCGUGCAUUUACGCAUGAACUGUUCAACCAAAGCUUCCCAAAUUUUUAUAUGUUGUUACUGAUGACAAAAUGGAGGUCAAGUUCAAUAAUGACGAUUUUGACUUUUACCGUUCAGGAGUUAUGGUUCUUGAAAGAUUGAAAAAUAGCAUUUCCAGUCAUGUCCGUGCAUUUACGCAUGAACUGUUCAACCAAAGCUUCCCAAAUUUUAAUAUGUUGUUACUGAUGACAAAAUGGAGGUCAAGUUCAAUAAUGACGAUUUUGACUUUUACCGUUCAGGAGUUAUGGUUCUUGAAAGAUUGAAAAAUGGCAUUUCCAGUCAUGUCCGUGCAUUUAC